rnacentral:rRNA from 1 species
AUUGAACGCUGGCGGCAGGCUUAACACAUGCAAGUCGAACGGUAACAUAAGAAAAGCUUGCUUUUUUUGAUGACGAGUGGCGGACGGGUGAGUAAUGCUUGGGAAUCUGCCUUAUGGAGGGGGAUAACUACGGGAAACUGUAGCUAAUACCGCAUAAUAUCUACGGAUUAAAGUGUGGGAUCUUCGGACCACAUGCCAUAAGAUGAGCCCAAGUGAGAUUAGGUAGUUGGUGAGGUAAAGGCUCACCAAGCUGACGAUCUCUAGCUGGUUUGAGAGGAUGACCAGCCACACUGGGACUGAGACACGGCCCAGACUCCUACGGGAGGCAGCAGUGGGGAAUAUUGCACAAUGGGCGCAAGCCUGAUGCAGCCAUGCCGCGUGAAUGAAGAAGGCUUUCGGGUUGUAAAGUUCUUUCAUUAGUGAGAAAGGUAUAAAUGUUAAUAGCAUUUGUAAUUGAUGUUAGCUAAAGAAGAAGCACCGGCUAACUCCGUGCCAGCAGCCGCGGUAAUACGGAGGGUGCGAGCGUUAAUCGGAAUAACUGGGCGUAAAGGGCAUGCAGGCGGUUACUUAAGUCAGAUGUGAAAGCCCCGAGCUUAACUUGGGAAUUGCAUUUGAAACUGGGUGACUAGAGUCCUCUAGGGAGGGGUAGAAUUCCACGUGUAGCGGUGAAAUGCGUAGAGAUGUGGAGGAAUACCGAAGGCGAAGGCAGCCCCUUGGAGAGAGACUGACGCUCAUAUGCGAAAGCGUGGGUAGCAAACAGG